AUUGAACGCUGGCGGCAUGCCUAACACAUGCAAGUCGAACGCGAAAGAGGGGCAACUCUCGAGUAGAGUGGCGGACGGGUGAGUAAUACGUAGGAAUCUGCCCUAGAGUGGGGGAUAACCUGUCGAAAGACGGGCUAAUACCGCAUAAUCUCUAAGGAGCAAAGGUGGCUAGCAAUAGCCUUCGCUUUAGGAUGAGCCUACGUCGGAUUAGCUAAUUGGUAGGGUAAUGGCCUACCAAGGCGACGAUCCGUAGCUGGUCUGAGAGGACGAUCAGCCACACUGGAACUGAGACACGGUCCAGACUCCUACGGGAGGUAGCAGUGGGGAUUAUUGGACAAUGGGGGAAACCCUGAUCCAGCAAUGCCGCGUGUGCGAUGAAGGCCUGCGGGUUGUAAAGCACUUUCGGUGGGGAAGAAAUGCUCAAAGAUAAUACAUUUGAGAGCUGACGUUACCCACAUAAAAAGCACCGGCAAACUCUGUGCCAGCAGCCGCAGUAACAC
rnacentral:rRNA from 1 species